GGUUAAGUCCGCAACGAGCGCAACCCUACUUGUUAGUUGCCAUCAUUCAGUUGGGCACUCUAGCGAGACUGCCGGUAAUAAACCGGAAGGAAGGUGGGGAGUGACGUCAAAUCAUCAUGCCCCUUAUGACCUGGGCUACACACGUGCUACAAUGGUUGGUACAACGAGUUGCGAGUCGGUGACGGCGAGCUAAUCUCUUAAAGCCAAUCUCAGUUCGGAUUGUAGGCUGCAACUCGCCUACAUGAAGUCGGAAUCGCUAGUAAUCGCGGAUCAGCACGCCGCGGUGAAUACGUUCCCGGGCCUU
rnacentral:rRNA from 1 species